rnacentral:lncRNA from 1 species
CACCCUCAAACACCAUCUGAUCUAACCUCGCAGGAAAAUCCCCUUGCUGGGCAGGGAAACCCUCUGCGGAAGUGGAAACGGAGCAUUUGCGCUUGGAAAAUCACAAAGGAGCGAGGGAAGCUUGCACCGGCAAGACAUUUCCCAGAAGUGUGCUGCCGGCAGUGUUCUUUGCCCUGCGCAGCCUGACGAGCGUUCGGGUUGAUCCCGGCAUCUCCAGGAACGGCAGCGGGGCCAGGCUGGGGAUGCAGGAUCCGGCCCUGAGCCCCUGUGCGCACGUCGUGGCAGCAAGUCCUCGGUAACAAAGCCGCCGCACGGAAUAAAGGAACGAGGAUUCAGCUUUAAUUA